rnacentral:rRNA from 1 species
CAAUAGCGUAUAUUAAAGUUGUUGCAGUUAAAAAGCUCGUAGUUGGAUUUCGGGUGUGAACGACCGGUCCGUCUUUGAUGUGUACUGGUUGGUUGCGCCUUAUUGUCGAGGACGUGGUUCUAGCUUUCAUUAGCCGGGACACGGAGUCGGCAGCGUUACUUUGAGAAAAUUAGAGUGUUCAAAGCAGGCUAUCGCUCUGAAUACUACAGCAUGGAAUAACACGAUAGGACUCCGAGCCUAUUCUGUUGGUCUUCGGGACCGGAGUAAUGAUUAAGAGGGACAGUUGGGGGCAUUCGUAUUCCGAUGUCAGAGGUGAAAUUCUUGGAUUAUCGGAAGACGAGCAUCUGCGAAAGCAUUUGCCAAGGAUGUUUUCAUUAA